rnacentral:rRNA from 1 species
UUUUUAGAGAGUUUGAUCCUGGCUCAGGAUUAACGCUGGCGGCGUGCAUAACACAUUCAAGUCGAACGGAGAAGACUGCUUCGGUAGUUUUCUUAGUGGCGGACGGGUGAGUAACGCGUGAGCAAUCUACCUCCAGGUGAGGGAUAACAACCGGAAACAGUUGCUAAUACCUCAUGAGAUAGUAACUUCGCAUGGAGUAGCUAUCAAAGGCUUGCUGCCUGGAGAUGAGCUUGCGUUUGAUUAGCUAGUUGGUGAGGUAACGGCC